rnacentral:lncRNA from 1 species
AUAAUCCCCCCAAAAGGUUUUAGUAGGCUAGUUAGGGAUGGCCAUUGACAUUCCAAGUCUAGCUAAACAAGGAGUGGUGAUGGUGGUGGUGUGAUGAUGGUGGUGAUGGUGGUGGUGUGAUGGUGGUGGUGAUGAUGGUAGUGUGAUGGUGUUGGUGAUGGUGUUGGUGGUGGUGGUGGUGAUGGUGGUGGUGGUGAUGGUGGUAGUGGUGGUGGUGGUGAUGGUGGUGGUGUGAUGGUGGUGUGAUGGUGGUGGUGGUGUGAUAGUGGUGUGAUGGUGGUGGUGAUGGUGGUGGUGUGAUAGUGGUGUUGGUGGUGGUGUGAUGGUGUGAUGGUGGUGGUGUGAUGGUGGUGGGAUGGUGUGAUGGUGGUGGUGAUGGUGGUGGUGUGAUGGUGUUGGUGUUGGUGGUGGUGUGAUGGUGGUGGUGAUGGUGGUGGUGUGAUGGUGGUAGUGAUGGUGGUGGUGUGAUGGUGGUGGUGGUGGUGUGAUGGUGGUGGUGAUGGUGGUGGUUUGAUGGUGGUGGUGUGAUGGUGGUGAUUGUGGUGUGGUGGUUGUGAUGGUGAUGGUAGUGGCAGUGAUGGUGAUGGUGGUGGUGGUGGUGGAGGAGAUGACAGUUGUGACUAUAGUGGUGGCAGUGGUGAUGAUGGAGAUGAGGGUGGUAGUGACGACUGUGAUGGUGGAGAUGGUGUUAAUGGUGGUGGUGGUAGUAAUGGUGGCAUGCUUAUGAGAUGGGAGUGAGGUUUACUAUUCCUAAUUUUACAGAACUGUCCAGGUUAGUAUGGGCCCUUAAGAAUAAUCCUUUCUGAGAUCUUCCCACCAGUAUAAAUUGCAGAUGUACCACUUAAAUUUCCCUAUUAUCUGAAGAGUAAA